rnacentral:rRNA from 1 species
AUUGAACGCUGGCGGCAUGCUUUACACAUGCAAGUCGAACGGUAACAGGCCGCAAGGUGCUGACGGGUGGCGAACGGGUGAGUAAUGCAUCGGAACGUGCCCAGUCGUGGGGGAUAACGCAGCGAAGGCUGCGCUAAUACCGCAUACGAUCUAUGGAUGAAAGCGGGGGACCGUAAGGCCUCGCGCGAUUGGAGCGGCCGAUGUCAGAUUAGGUAGUUGGUGGGGUAAAGGCUCACCAAGCCAACGAUCUGUAGCUGGUCUGAGAGGACGACCAGCCACACUGGGCCUGAGACCCGGCCCAGACUCCUACGUGAGGCAGACGUGGGGAAUUUUGGACACUGGGCGCAAGCCUGAUCCAGCAAUGCCGCGUGCAGGAAGAAGGCCUUCGGGUUGUAAGCUGCUUUUGUACGGAACGAAACGGUCCUGGUUAAUACCUGGGGCUAAUGACGGUACCGUAAGAAUAAGCACCGGCUAACUACGUGCCAGCCGCCGCGGUAACAC